AAUCCGUGCUGCGGGCACUUUCAAAGGAGCUCCUUGAACCUUUCCCACAUCUCAAAUAGAGACUCCAAUUUUGACUAUACAAAGGAUGAGAUCUAAUUCCUAAGCUU